rnacentral:tRNA from 1 species
GACACUUUGGCCGAGUGGUUAAGAUUAGUCUACCCCUCCCCAGGCAUUGGGUUCGCCCGCGCAGGUUCGAAUCCUGCAGGUGUCG